rnacentral:rRNA from 1 species
UACAGAGGGGGGCAAGCGUUAUUCGGAAUUAUUGGGCGUAAAGGGCGCGUAGGCGGCCUGGCAAGUGACGGGUGAAAGCCCUCGGCUCAACCGAGGAACUGCCUGUCAUACUGCCGGGCUUGAGUCCGGAAGAGGAGAGUGGAAUUCCUGGUGUAGCGGUGAAAUGCGCAGAUAUCAGGAAGAACACCCGUGGCGAAGGCGGCUCUCUGGGACGUGACUGACGCUGAGACGCGAAAGCGUGGGGAGCGAACAGG